rnacentral:tRNA from 1 species
GGGGCUGUAGCUCAGCACGGUCAGAGCGCUGGCCUGUCACGUCAGAGGCCGCGGGUUCAAGUCCCGUCAGCCCCGCCA